AAACCUCACCAGUACCUGCACAGGAGAAACACCACGGAUCACAGCGCGAUCUGAAUGGCAAGAGCCUUGCCCUCACCCCACACCUUCCCAGCCUGCUUCCCCUGGGACACAGCCGUUGCUCACUUCCUAUCUGGACCCCAGAGGCCUCAGCCUGCAUCCUCACCCAGACAGAGCAGUUCUCAAGGAUCCUCCCUGUGCCCAGAAGUCUCCCUAGCCUGAGUGGUACAUGGGCAUCCCUCGCCUUCCUGAGAUCCCCUAUUGGGCCCUUUGAGCCCCGUUGUCCCCCACACCCCCCAUCCCGCCCCCCAGCCAUGCCCCACGCCUUGCCUGGUGGGUGCGGGGGUCCCCCUCAGCAGGUGGGCUGUGGCUGGGGGGCGUCUCCCGGGACAGGGGGGGCGGCCCCCCCCAGAUGGGUCUGCAUGUGGCCGGCCAGCUGGGCAGGGGUCUUGCAGUGCACGCUGCACAGCUUGCACAGGAUGCGGUCAGCCCGCGGGGCCUGGAGCCCGUGGUCCUUCACCGCGUGGAUGCGCAGCCUUGGUACCUACAGAACUCAUUCUCCAUGGCCGGGAGACCUCUCCCAGGAUGACGAGACACUGACUCCUAGCCACUUGCAGGGUUGACCCUCAGCAGAGACGGCUGUGUCC
rnacentral:lncRNA from 1 species